rnacentral:rRNA from 1 species
CAUGAGUGGCGGACGGGUGAGUAACGCGUGGGCAACCUGCCCUGUACAGGGGGACAACACUUAGAAAUAGGUGCUAAUACCGCAUAACGGGGGGAGCCGCAUGGCACCCCCUGAAAACUCCGGUGGUACAGGAUGGGCCCGCGUCUGAUUAGCUGGUUGGCAGGGUAACGGCCUACCAAGGCGACGAUCAGUAGCCGGCCUGAGAGGGCGGACGGCCACACCGGGACUGAGACACGGCCCAGACUCCUACGGAAGGCAGCAG